rnacentral:rRNA from 1 species
GGAGGAAAGCAGGGGAUCGCAAGACCUUGCACUUUUGGAGCGGCCGAUGUCUGAUUAGCUAGUUGGUGGGGUAAUGGCCUACCAAAGCUUCGAUCAGUAGCUGGUCUGAGAGGACGGCCAGCCACACUGGGACUGAGACACGGCCCAGACUCCUACGGGAGGCAGCAGUGGGGAAUUUUGGACAAUGGGCGCAAGCCUGAUCCAGCAAUGCCGCGUGAGUGAAGAAGGCCUUCGGGUUGUAAAGCUCUUUCAGUCGAGAAGAAAAGGCUGUGGUAAAUAAUCGCAGCUCAUGACGGUAUCGACAGAAGAAGCACCGGCUAACUACGUGCCAGCAGCCGCGGUAAUACGUAGGGUGCAAGCGUUAAUCGGAAUUACUGGGCGUAAAGGGUGCGCAGGCGGUUUUGUAAGUCAGAUGUGAAAUCCCCGGGCUUAACCUGGGAACUGCGUUUGAAACUACAAGGCUAG